AGAUCCCGCGGCGAAAAACGGCUUUAUUUUGGAGAUGACGCCGCCAUCGGUGCUGAAAGCCUGCGCGUGGGGUCUCGCGAUACGGACUAACGGACGCUUAAGGCUCACGUGAAACAACUCCUUCAGGACAGCUCUGUGGAUCGACUGUCCUCGUCCUCCUCAUGACACUGAGGGUUCCAAGGCCAUGACUAGCUUCUUGACUCCUUCGUUCAUCGUUCACGUUCACGUCCACGUCAAACACGCUCAGUUCAGCGAUUCUGUUCAAGGUGAUUCAUGGAAAAACGACCCAGUUUUGAUGUCAAUCUAAAAGACUCGGUGUGAAUAACCUUCUGGAGAACUCUACAGAACUCCACGUUACGUCGUCCAUGCUGGAGCUCAUUAGUGUGUUUUCCUCUUGCAUGUGACAUUUCACUUACUGGUUAAUCAUCCACAAUGUGACUGAAUGGCUGAAUGUUGUCCUGAGGAGAGAAACACUGGGGUGAAAUGAUCCCAUCUUCGUCCUUCAACUCCAAUACCAAAUACAUCACUUAUUACCCAGACUAAUCUGAUCAGACUAACUCACGGGGACGGAUACGUCAAGAGGGUGGGGCGCUUACACAAUCCCAGCCUUUUUAUUAUCAUCAUGGCUAUUAUUAUUACUAUUAUUAUGGAUGAUUUGACAGAAGACAACACAGAGGAGUGUGCGACAGGAAGAGAAACAGCUGUGCUGAACAGAACCUUCUGGAGCUUCAGUCUGUAGGAUCUUCUGUUGAGCUGUUCCGCCCCCUGGUGUCACACCGAAGAACUGCACACAGAAGAUCAAAUUCUCCUGGCACAUUUAAUUAUUUAUAUAUUUAUUUGUGCAGAACUUUAUGGCCAAACGUGCUCCCAGUAAAUGACUAUAAAAUUUACAGUCACAAGUACAAAAAGCUCUGGAUCCAGAUCCGACAGCGAUUGAACUAGAGUUAGCACGCUGUCAUGACAUCACCACGUUCUACCUCUACAAGCGUGCAAAAUGUUGGGUCUUACUGAUUUACUUACCUGCGCUGUGGUCAUGGCUUAAAACAUUAUUUUCUAUCAUGUUGUACAUAUUUUAUAUAUUAUAUAUAUUUUAUAUAUAUAAUAUAUAAAAGAAGACUAUUGCACCUUUAAGGAUCUAGAACGCUAAACCUGCAUAUGGAUUUCUGUAGAGCUAUUUGUGACAAUAUCGGGUUAAAAGUGCUCUGCAAAUAAAACAGAUUUUUAAUAGAUUUUAUGUAAAAUAUCAGAUUACACUACAUAAAUAUGGCAGCAUUAUGAAAAGUGUAAGCAGCAGUAAUUAAUAUUAGUAAUAGUAAUGCUAGCAGUAGCGGUAGUGUUAAUAGAAUAAGUAUUAGUAGUAAUAGUAGUAGUAUUAAAAGAGGUGGUAUUAGUAGUAAUAUUUAUGGUGGUAGUGGUAAUAGAAGUAGUAUUAGUAGUAAUAGUUGUAGUAGAAGUGGCAACAGUAGUAGUACAAGAAGUAGUAAUAGUAAAAGAAGGCGUGGUUAUAGUAGCAGUAGUAGGAGAAGGCGUGGUUAUAGUAGCAGUAGUAGAAGUAGUAAUAGUAAAAGAAGGCGUGAUUAUAGUAGCACUAGUAGAAGUAGUAAUAGUAAAAGAAGGCGUGGUUAUAGUAGUAGAAGUAGUAAUAGUAAAAGAAGGCGUGGUUAUAGUAGCAGUAGUAGAAGUAGUAAUAGUAAGAGAAGGCAUGGUAUAGUAGCAGUAGUAGAAGUAGUAAUAGUAAAAGAAGGCGUGGUUAUAGUAGUAGAAGUAGUAAUAGUAAAAGAAGGCGUGGUUAUAGUAGUAGAAGUAGUAAUAGUAAAAGAAGGCGUGGUUAUAGUAGCAGUAGUAGAAGUAGUAAUAGUAAAAGAAGGCGUGGUUAUAGUAGCAGUAGUAGAAGUAGUAAUAGUAAGAGAAGGCGUGGUUAUAGUAGCAGUAGUAGAAGUAGUAAUAGUAAGAGAAGGCGUGGUUAUAGUAGCAGUAGUAGAAGUAGUAAUAGUAAGAGAAGGCGUGGUUAUAGUAGCAGUAGUAGUGGUAGCAAUAAUUGUAGUAUUAUUAGUAAUAGAAGUAGUGUUAGUAGUAAUAGUUAUAUUGUAGUAGCAGUAAUAGUAGUAGUAUUUGUAGUCAUAGUUAUUGUAGUAGUAGUAGAGGUGGUAGUAAAAGAAUUAGUAUUAAUGAAAGUAAUAUUGGUGGUAGUAGUAGCAGUAGAAGUAGUUAUAGUAGUAAUAAAAGUGGUAGACGUACAGUAGUAGUAAUAAUAGUACUGGAUGUAAUAGAAGUAGUGUUAGCAACAAUAGCAGUACAAUAGUAGUAAUAGUAGCAGUAGUAGAAGUAGUGGUAGUAAUAAUUGUAGUAUUAGUAGUAAUAGAAGUAGUGUUAGAAGUAAUAGUCAUGGUAGCAGUAGCAGUAAUGGAUUUUUUCGUCGGAAGUACACAGACAGAAUGUCUAUCGGUUUGACUUCUAUCUGCCAGAGAUUGUGUGGAGGUAGUGCAGUAGGUAAUGAUGUACAGGAGUUUUUUUUAUGAGCAUUACAUGUCAGAAAGCUAAUAAAAAACUCCAGUGCAUUUCCUACCUGUUAUUUAUGGUUAGCACGUCGUUCAGUAACCGCAUGUCAGUCACAAGCCUUCAUUUUCCCCUGAGGAGUAUAAACUAGUGCUGGCAGUGCAUGUUGGGACCAGACGCUUUCCUUCAUGUGGUGAGAGACAGAGCCUGGAGACAGACGCUCAACGGUUUUCACUGUAGAAAAUAUAAAACAAUACUGCUGAUAAACUCUAACGAGUGCUCCAAAUGUUUAACAGGAAGACAUGUCGGGUUGUUUUGUUGUUGUUGUUUUUUUUUAAAAAAAAGAAUGCAAAUGUUACUACCA